UCUAGAACGCAGGAUAUGGGCUGAACACUGAAAGUGUCUGGGCUUGAGGAGAGAUUCUGACUUCUCUGUUGUUGCUACAAUUUGAACUUGCAAACGGUCCUUUUGAAUCUUGGACUCUCAUGAAAGUUUUAGGCCUAUGUCUUAGCUUUCUAUC
rfam:Populus trichocarpa scaffold_15_contig_109, whole genome shotgun sequence.